CAAACUCCUCCCUUCUGUGCCCUUCUAGCUCUCCUCCUCCUCACCACCAAGCUUCUUCAAAGGGCUCUAUUGGCUAUCUCUACUUCCUAGCCUCCCACUCACUCCUCAACCCAGAACAAUCUGGCUUCCAUCCUACCACUCCACUGAAACUACACUUGCAAGAGAUACUUUACUUGAGCUCAAAAGACUGGAAAUACUGUGCCGGAACAGGCCUCUGCUGUUGACCACUGCAGCUCAGGGCCUGGUGCACGAUUUCUAUAACCCUCGCUCUGGUGCUCCACCAAGUAAGUUAGAAAACAUCGAAGUUCAGUCAAGUUUCAAAGAUGAUGCUGAUUGUCAGUAAAGCUGGAGAAACACUGAGUUAAGUUUCCAGAAGAUAAGAAUGUUACUGGACUUUAUAACUUUGGGGUUGACAUAAAUGCCUGCAAACUUCACUGCUGAACACACUGAUGGAGAUAAAUCAAUGAAAUUGUCAUUUUUCUUAUAAAAUGUUUUCCUUUACUUACAAUGAUCUGAUUGUACAAACAUUUCUAAAAUUUACCUGAGAAUAUCACAAAGAAAUUUCACACUCAAGAUUUAUAAAAGAAAGG